CAGGACGUCUCCUAAGAGAAGCAACUGACACAUCAGGGAUUGGUGAACUCAUCUCCUUGUUUUAGAAAAAGAAGCAGCUGUCUAGAAAGCAGCCCACGAUGCUCCUUGGUUGAUCUAGAGGAGCUGCCAGCAAUGUUAAGGUUAGAAACAGAUUCUGAGAUCGAAGUGUUGAGGUUUACUGGAGUUUGUGCGGAGGGUUCAUAAGGGAAGCAGAAUUGGCAAAUUGAGAAUCUGAACUGUGAUAUAAUUUUCACAGAAGCUGUAGCUGAUCAAAAGGCCUACCUGUGAAAGAGAGAAAGAAAAGAAGGAAGGAAAGAAAGAAAGAAAGAGAGAGAGAGAAAGAAAGAAAGAAAGAAAGAAAGAAAGAAAGAAAGAAAGAAAAAGAAAGAAAGAAAGAAAGAAAGAAAGAAAGAAAGAGAAAAGAAAGAAAAAAAGAGAAAAGAAAUGUCAUGAAAACAUUACUUUUAAAAAAAGCAAGACUGACUAUCUAGAUAAAAUAGGCCUCAAAGUAAANGGAGGGAGGGAGGGAGGGAGGGAGGGAGGAAGGGAGAAGGAGAGAGACAGAGAGAGAAAGGAAAGAAGGAAGAAAGAAAAGAAAUGAUAAAAACUUUCAACAAGCCAGAGAGAGGGAAGAAAAUGUCCUCAAUAUGAUAAAGAGUACGUAUGAAAAAUCUACACAGAACACAAUACAUGAUGGCUAAAGACCAAACACUUUCCCCCUAAGAUUGAAACAAAGGAUGUCUGCUCAUAUCACUGCAGUUCAGCAUUAUAAUGCAAGUCCUAACCACUUAGUAAGAGAGAGAGAGGGAAAAAAAAGUAAAGAAGAGAAAAAAGCAUAUGGACUGGGAAUAAAAAAGUGAAACUCUCUUCA
rnacentral:lncRNA from 1 species